AACGUAGGAGACGAGCGUUAUCCGGAUUUACUGGGCGUAAAGCGUGUGCAGGCGGUUCGGCAAGUUGGAUGUGAAAUCUCCCGGCUCAACUGGGAGGGGUCGUUCAAUACUACCGAACUUGAGGUCAUCAGAGGAAGAUGGAAUUCCCGGUGUAGUGGUGAAAUGCGUAGAUAUCAGGAGGAACACCCGUGGCGAAGGCGGCUGCCUGGGGCAUCACUGACACUGAGAAGCGAAAGCUAGGGGAGCGAACGGG
rnacentral:rRNA from 1 species